UCAAUAUUUAGAUGCAUUUGAAUGUGCCUGUGUUGUUUCUAGUUUAUAUUGGGACAUAAACUCUAGUCUUACUUAGUCACUUUGACCCUAAAACACAACAGAGGCCUCCAUGUGCGUGAACCGACCAACAGAUGAUCCUGCUUCGGCCACUGAGCCUUAAUUAAAAGCACUAAUUGACCACUCUGUCCCCUCCCUCCCCAUCCCUCUGUCCCUCCCCUCCUGUCCUCCUCUCCACAGUAAGUCAAGGAGCUCCCUACAAUCCAGAUGGCCAGCCAAUGGGGGGCUUCGUCAUGGACGGCCAGCAGCACAUGGGAAUCAGACCACCUGGUCCAAUGGGUGGUAUGGGGAUGAAUAUGGGUAUGGAAGGUCAGUGGCACUACAUGUAGCCCUAUCCAAGUGCCAAGCAUCGCAACACGAAGGGGGAUAAAUAAACCACCAGGGGAUCACCUACUUCCCUGUGGCCUACUGAGUUUGGAGCAGGACUUCUAUCUUCAGGACAACACCAGCCAAAAACAACUCCGUCUGCACCUGUCAGGAUCUUUGAACAUGGCUGACAUUUCCUCACUGCUUCGAAACUGCCUUCAGCUCCUGUCUGCUACUCCGAUCUCAAACGCUGUGGCUCUGGUUUGUUGUGAGGGCACUGAUCAUGGCCUUCUCCCUUAACAGUGAUUGCGAUGAUCAUACUGAAAAACACACAAGUCCACAGUUGCCUGCAUUUUGGGAACUGUGAACCAAGCGAUAUCUUCUUGGCUUCAUGGUGAACUAAGGAAACUCCCGUUUUUGGCACGAGGAUAUGGACCAAGGAGAAAACAAUGUCUGUAACUGACAAAGACACAGCAGUGGUGCCCUUUAAAAUGAUUGAAAUACGGAGGUGAAAGAAUUUAAUUUUUAAAAGUAUAACUAUAUCAACCCUUUGGGAAACGAGCUGAGACAAAAAUAUACUGUAUACUGUUGUAAAAUGUGGCUGGACUCUCACAUGGACUGGGAAUUUAAGUAUUGUAAAUUCUAUUGUAUUGUUCUGCAUAUUAUGUUGUUUCUAAUAGAUUUUUUAAAAAAGGAUGUGAACUUUUUCUCUUUUUUUCUGGUUUAUUUUCACACCGUAUGUGUGCUGUACAUGCAUGGGGACCUCUGCCCCCACCCUGACUCCAUUGGAUCACAACAAAGAAUUUUUAAAGCAAAAAAGUGAAUAAAUCAGAAUAUGUCAUCCUUUUAUAAUUCCCCAUAGGCAUUUAUUUAAAAAUGUCACUGCUCUACAGUGGCAAACAUAACCCAAAAUAUGUCAGAGAUGGUGCUAUUCAAAAGGAUUUCAUGGAAACAAAAGUACCAUAGACUUCAGUGUGUCUUUAUGACAGAAAAACACUCAGCAACACAUGGACACUGAUGUGAGGGAAGUCCAUACAGACAUAGUAUAUUUGUUUUAAAUGUGGAAAGUCACUUAAUUACAAAUAGCAGAGCACUGAGCAAACCUGCUCCCUGGCCCAGAGCAUAACAUGUCACAAAAAUAGCUCUUCUGCACAUUCACUUUUCAGUUUUGGCUUUUCAUAAUGGAGAAUGAAUAAAUCAACAUCGUAGGAUCAUUUUAAAUGCAAAAGUUCAACUUAAGUUUUCUUCUUGGUGGUCUUUGAGAUUAUUAGUAUUCUAAUGUAUUUUGUGUCAAAUGCUGAGCCUUACAGGGCCAGUGGAGCUUCCUCUCCCAGUCACACAUGUAGUCCAAUAAUGCCAAUGAAAGCUAAAAGCAAAUGGCUAUAGAGUAACGACUUUACAUUCAACAUAGUUCUAUGUGGUAACGCUGAUUUACAGACAGCCGAAUGUAACACAAGAAGAAGGCAGGGAGUGUUUUGUGUGUUUGUGUGUGUGUGCGCGUAUGUAAAAAGUGAGAGGUGCUUGUGCGGGUUAUACUGCAUUGCUUCGGACAUGUAUAAUAACACACAUCUUAAAGGUUCCUUUGAAGAAAAACAUGUUUCUUUUGCUUUUACUUUGAAGGGGUAUAUAUUGUACAUUUGUGUUGUAAAUAAAUACUUUUGUUCAAAUUACAGAAAAA